rnacentral:rRNA from 1 species
UCAUAAUCCUUUAUYAGAUACUGAGUAAUUCUAUAKAUUAUAGAAUAUUUUAUGUUGAAACUAGUAACAAGAAAAGACUUUCUCUUUAAUGUAAGUGKAAAUCAAAAAGGACAAGCCACUGAUAUUUAACAUCACUAAACCRAAAGUAAAAACUCACCAAGAAAACCCUACUYUYAUUUAUGUUAACCUAACACAAGAGCAUUACAAGAAAGAUUAAAAGAAAAAGAAGGAACUCGGCAAAUAUUAACCUCGCCUGUUUACCAAAAACAUCGCCUCUUGAAYCCUAUAAGAGGUCCAGCCUGCCCAGUGACUUUGUUUAACGGCCGCGGUAUCCUAACCGUGCAAAGGUAGCGUAAUCACUUGUUCUUUAAAUAAGGACUUAGUAUGAAUGGCAUCACGAAGGUUAUACUGUCUCCUUUUUCUAAUCAGUGAAACUAAUCUUCCCGUGAAGAAGCGGGAGUAUAAAUAUAAGACGAGAAGACCCUAUGGAGCUUAAAAUGAUUCAACAAAACAUUAUAAAUUUCAGAAAGCAAUAUGAUUGUAAAUUUUUGGUUGGGGUGACCACGGAGAAUAGCAUAACCUCCAUGUUGAAAGAGUCUCUAAGCUGAGAAUUAUAUAUCUAAGCAUCAACACACUGACAUUCCUUGACCCAAUAUAAUUGACCAACGAACCAAGUUACCCUAGGGAUAACAGCGCAAUCUACUUCAAGAGCUCCUAUCGACAAGUGGGUUUACGACCUCGAUGUUGGAUCAGGGUAUCCNUAGUGGUGUAGCCGCUANUNAAGGUYCGANYCUCAANGGGUAAA